UUUUCUCUCUCAUGGUUGGGCCAAAUUCUCUGGGCGGGCAAAGCCAAGAAAGGGGAGGUACCUUUAGUCCUUAUGACCUUAUAAGGAGCAAGAUUCCAGAUUGGACCAUCUCAGCUUUAAUUUUCUGAAAGGCAGAGGAGCAUACCCAGGGCUUGGUUUACACCUCUCGCCAUUUCUAGCCACUGGGUGACCAUAUAGGCAGGCUGGGGGAACGCAUA